rnacentral:rRNA from 1 species
UCUGACGGAGCACGCCNCGUGAACNAAGAAGGCCUUCGGGUCGUAAAGUUCUGUUGUUAGGGAAGAACAAGUACCAGAGUAACUGCUGGUACCUUGACGGUACCUAACCAGAAAGCCACGGCUAACUACUUGCCAGCAGCCGCGGUAAUACGUAGGUGGCAAGCGUUGUCCGGAAUUAUUGGGCGUAAAGCGCGCGCAAGUGGUUCCUUAAGUCUGAUGUGAAAGCCCACGGCUCAACCGUGGAGGGUCAUUGGAAACUGGGGAACUUGAGUGCAGAAGAGGAAAGUGGAAUUCCAAGUGUAGCGGUGAAAUGCGUAGAGAUUUGGAGGAACACCAGUGGCGAAGGCGACUUUCUGGUCUGUAACUGACACUGAGGCGCGAAAGCGUGGGGAGCAAACAGGAUUAGAUACCCCNGGUAGUCCAGGCC